CCCACCAGUGCGAGUCAAAAAUCUGGCAAAAAAGCAACAAAUAAAAAAAAUAUGUUUUCACUGACGGAAGUUAUGAUGUGCUGACCGUGCACACUUGUCCACAGUCUCGAUCCCAGAAGUGUCGUCGAUAUCCUCUAAUCAAGAAACGACUAGUCGAUGAAAUAAUCAAAGAUGACGACUUCAAGCAGCAGCUACGGUUGAAAAUGGGUGAUAACUUCCCAAGCUGUUUACAACGUGCUGUUGUCGCACCUUCCUUGUCUAUUGAAACAAGAAUAAGGCAUUUGGAUAAAGAAAAAUGUUAUCUCUCAGUUCUCUGAUU